UGGGCCUGCGUCGAGCGGCAACGCGGCGUCGAAGGGGCGGAGCUCCGACCGGUCACGUGGCUCCGCACCUCCCCGGCGCGCGCCCGCCCGCUCGCCCCCGACCCCGGCUCCGGCUCCUCCUCCUCCUCUUCUCGCCAUUGCAGUUGGACUCAGCAGCCCGGUGCGCACCGCGUGGCUUUUGGGGCGAGACCCCGGCGGGCUCUGGCAGGAGGGCGGCGGCUGCGGUCGGAGAAGGGGACGCGGACAAGAUUGCUUAGGACUUGGCAUUCAUUCUCCCCCAAAACUGAUCUGGUGCGAUAUUUGAGUGUCCUGUGAUCUGCAAGAUUGGGACCCAAGCAUGAGAGCUUGAAAUCCUUUCCCUUUUCUACCUUAUUUUCUCAGUUCCUCCUGAUUUCACCUUUUACAUCUCAGAGGAAUGAUUCCUUCCCCCUGGAAACUUGGACUUGCCCUCCUGCUACAUUUUGUCAUUAAGUUGCUUAACCUUGUGCAGUCUUGAAAAAUGUGUAAAGUGUCACCAUCUAGUAUUAGCAGUAAAUGUACAGAUCUUGAAUAUCCAAUUCAAUGGAUUUUGACCAGUGCAUGUCCCCAUCAGUAUUACCAAGAUGUAGACCAUGACCAUCACCCCAGAAGGUUUCCGGGACCCCUUCCCAGGUGUUUCCUGCCACCAUCCCCCAGAGGCAACCGCUGAUGAGUUUUGGCUGUUCUGCUGAGUUCGAGAACUUCAUCUGUGUGGAAGCUUUUUUUUUUUCCUUUUUCUUUUUUGAUAGUUGCCCCAAAUGUAGCCACUGGAAGUGCUCACAGGUCAGCUCAAUUGUCCUUUGGACAAGCCUGCAGUAAUCUGUGCAUGUUUCCUUGCUUUCUGACACUGCAGUGUGACCCAGGCUCACCCAUUAUAGUUGUGCAUCAGGUGCCGAAUCAACCAUUUCUUCCAGGAGCUCCUUUUAGAAGAUUUUAGACAAUAUCAGUCCUACAAAACCCUGAAUAAAAAGGUCUUAGUCACCUGGGAUCUCAGUUUAAGCUCAGUUAUUUUCAAGUCUCUAUAUCUGAUAUCUGUGGUGGAGGAAGAAUGUAAGAUGAAGAGAUGGUAAGUGUACAGUGAUGCAUUGGCUCCGGACACCAUGUUGGAUUUGGAGGGAAGGCGUUUCUCCCUUAGGGUACACUCACUGGCCAGGUCCACAGGAAUGGGGGACUUGUGUGCUGUGUUCAUCACUGUCCCAGCAUCUAGCUCAGGGCCUGGCACAGGGGAGGUGCAUGCUGAAUACUUUUGAAUAAGUAAAUACAGUUUUAAACAUCAUCCUUCAUUAUCAGAUUGAUGAAGUUUCAGUAUAGAUACGGCCAGGACUGGUGGCUGUUUAACAUGGGCUCCUCACCAGUCAGCUGUGAUUUCUGAUGGCCUGCCUCUUGUCAGUUUAGAAUUGGUUUUCUGAGCUUUGCUUUAAAUUUUAGAUUACCUGCCAUGGUUGCACUUUUGUAAGAAUUCUUGUUUACUACUCACUUUUAAAAAAAACCCAAAAACUAUUAUGGAAAUUUUCAAGCAUGCACAAGUGAUCCCAGUAUACCCAUCCUCAUCUUCAGCAGGUAUCAACAUUUUCCAGUGUUGGUUUAUCCUUUUCCCUUCUCCACUCCCCACCUCACUGGAGUAUUUUAGAGCAAAUACCAGGCAUGUAGUUUAAGCCGUAAAUUUAUCUUAAAUAUGUAUCUAACAGAUAAAGACAUUGUCUUUUUUUAAAAAAAAAUAAGGUAUUUUAUUUAUUUAUUUUGGCUGCGUUGGGUCUUCGUUGCUGGCACGGGCUUUAGUUGCGGCGAGCGGGGGGCUACUCUUCAUUGCGGUGCGCGGGCUUAUCGCGGUGGCUUCUCUUGUUGCAGAGCAUGGGCUCUAGGCGCGCAGGCUUCAGUAGUUGUGGCUCACGGGCUCUAGAGUGCAGGCUCAGUAGUUGUGGCAGACGGGCUUAGAUGCUCCGCGGCAUGUGGGAUCUUCCUGGACCAGGGAUCGAACCUGUGUCCCCUGCAAUGGCAGAUGAAUUUUUAACUACUGCACCACCAGGGAAACCCCAAAGAUGUUCUUUUCAAACACAGCCGUAAUAUCAUUCGUUCCUAAGUGAAUGAAUAAUUAUUCCUUAAUACAGGAUGUGCUUUUGCAUGUGCUCCGCCCCUGCAACAGCCAGUGAUGUACAUCUUGUCUGUAGCAGAAGUUGGUGCUGUUUUUGCGGGUCUGUGGGAUUUAUGCUCCAUGCUUUCCAUAGGUCAACUCAUUUAAUUUUCACAGUCCCCUUGAAGAGGUAGAGGAGUAGAUUCAUGUGGCAGGUUAGAAGGAAACUCCAACGAAACUUCAAGGCCACACACAGGUGGUGGCCCAGCUGGCAAAGUUUCAGGCCCACAUCUUUGCAAAAGCUCCCACUUGGUGACUACCACAAGGGCCCAGGCACAGCCAGGAGCUGAGCCCAGGGACUGGUCCUCCACUCCUCCCUCCCCUCCCUCCCAUGUCAAAAGCAUUUGACGUCACCUGUCCUUUUGCCUGGCUCUGCAGGGGCAUCGCCUGUCAUUCCACCCUCAGAUUUUCAAGUUCUACUUUGGAACCCUUAAGUUUUCGAUGAGAUUGCUAGGUAGUCCUGAAGCAUUGUGGGAAAUUAUUGUUCUGGUUAGUCAUGUCGGAGUUUAUCCUUGAAGGGGGUGCGUUUCCGAGAUGAACCUGCUGCCCUGGCUGGUAACUGGUAUGGAUCGAAGGGUUAUGUGGUUAGCUGUUAUGUGGCUGGAGGGAAUGGGUGGAUUCAUCUGUUGCCUAUUACGCUGAUGGGAUUUUUUUGGUUGUUUACUCAUUUGGAAGAUUUCGGUGUGGACCAGACUGUUUGCAUAGAGUGGGAAUUGAGUAGGUUGUAGUCAGCA